CCUACGGGUGGCAGCAGUAAGGAAUAUUGGUCAAUGGACGCAAGUCUGAACCAGCCAUGCCGCGUGAAGGAUGAAGGCCUCUGGAUUGUAAACUUCUUUUAUAUGGGAAGCGGUACCAUUUGAAUAAGCACCGGCUAACUCCGUGCCAGCAGCCGCGGUAAUACGGAGGGUGCAAGCGUUAUCCGGAUUCACUGGGUUUAAAGGGUGCGUAGGUGGGCAGGAAAGUCAGUGGUGAAAUCUCCGGGCUUAACCCGGAAACUGCCAUUGAUACUAUUUGUCUUGAAUAUCGUGGAGGUGAGCGGAAUAUGUCAUGUAGCGGUGAAAUGCUUAGAUAUGACAUAGAACACCCAUUGCGAAGGCAGCUCACUACCGUUAUUGACGCUGAGGCACGAAAGCGUGGGGAGCAAACAGGAUUAGAUACCCUUGUAGUC
rnacentral:rRNA from 1 species